rnacentral:lncRNA from 1 species
UUGGGGCUGUUUUUCAUUGACCAAGAACCCUAUGGUUCUUAGGGGAUCUCAGAACAACUCCAGUUGAACCCUGUAUUUUUAGAGUUGUAGUCAGACCCAUUUACUCUCAGAUUCAAAACAUGCUGAUUAGCAUCAACGACCAAGUCAGCUGCUGCUGCUCCAACACAGUAUAAGCCUUCCUCUCCUCUGAAGACCCAGUGAGGGUGGAGCUCAGUCAGAGAGCUGUUGAGGGACUGGUUAGGAAGAACACUUCUACAGCCAGAGAGGGGCAGUCAAGAAAUGGAAUGGCAAGGCCACAGAACAUGACAUAAGCAGAGCUGUGGGAGACCAUCUCAAGCCUCUGGUAGAGCCGGGGGUGGUGUUUACCACUCCACCACACUGGAAAAGUGGGAUUGAUCCGUUUGUUUCAGUUUG